UGAAUAAAAAAUGCCUCAUAAAGCAGUUCUCCGCUAACUACCUUUUACUAUAUUGCAGGGAGGUUAUUACCAUCCAGAAGUUUCUGGAAGCAGCGGCACAGCAUGAGAUAUGUGGGAAGGUUCGUUUGCGACGGUUCAUUGAGAGCCUCUUGCGGAGGAUUUCCCUGGCUGAGAGACUACUGGAAUAUUAUCAGAGCGUCCCUCACAGGCAUUAUUGCACAGUUCACUCUGUGCCUCUGCCAUCAGAACUUGGUCCACAUAGAAUAACAGAAAGCAGGUCUUCAGGAGACCAUCUUGAGCAGGAUGAAGAGCAGCAGUUGCUUGGUCAGUCUGGAUGGGGACUGUCUAAAGGUUCUUCUGGGAGACUGGGUUACGACAGCUGGUCCCAGAGGAGGAGGUCAGAUGGGUACGAGGUUUAGGGACAGAGGCAGAGCUUAGCAAUGAAUGUAAUUGCAAAUAGCACUAUUUAAAAUAUUAGUGAAAUAUGUUGAGAAUAUGAACAAUAAUACAGUGGGGU
rnacentral:lncRNA from 1 species